rnacentral:misc_RNA from 1 species
UCCCUCGUGAGAGGGCAGUCUCGCCUGACUUGUAAAACAGGCAACGCGGGUUGCGUUCGUUACCCCACUGAAGGGAACAACUCAAGCCACGAACUGACGACGACCAUGCAUCACCUGCCCAGCCGUCUUGCGAGGUCCAAAGUUUCCUAAGGAUUUCGUCUGGGUUUCAAACCCUGGUGAGGUUCUUCGUUUGUCAUCGAAUUGAGCCGCAUGAUCCACCGCUUGUGCAAGUCCCCGUCUAUUCCUUUGAGUUUUAGCCUUGCGGCCGUACUACCCAGGCGCACAACUUAACGCGUUAGCUUCGCCUCAGAGAGGGUCGAUACUCCCUAAAGCCAGUUGUGAUCGUUUAGGGCGUGGACUAC